rnacentral:lncRNA from 1 species
UGGGCAUGUCUGAUGCCUGCUUCAGAGGGUAGGGAUAAGCUGCAAAGACCCCAAGAAAACACCUUUAUUCUUCCCACCUGCCUCAAGACAGUUCUCAGUGAUCACCUUGUGAAGAAAAUAACUUUUGAAGUCCCCCUUCUCUCAGCAUCUCUCAGCUGCAUGGCAAUGAUCUCGAUCUUUCCCGUCACUCUUCCUUCAGGGUUCAGAGGGCCAUCCACCUCCUACCAGGAAGACAAAUAGAUGAAUGUGGACUUUAGCAGAGAGAUCCUGCUGUACUGGGAAUCCAGGAAGUCCUCAAAAUGAAUAGUGCUCUGAUAAAGGAUCUCCUAAUCAGCUUGAAGGACAUUCUAUUAGACAAACUCAACACAGUUAAAGCAUUUCCCCAAAACAUGAUGAUCACAAAUGAUGGAAACAAACAAAC